rnacentral:lncRNA from 1 species
GUUGUCUUCAGGUUGCUGAUACUCACUCAGUCUGGCCAAACUAGGUCCCUUCAAGUUUUCAAAACAAAUUCUAUCAGUCUCUGUAUUUUUUGGGAAAAAAUUGAGGGGUGGAUUCUAAACAAUUUCAUAGGGAAAGAACUCCCACCGCACAGCACACAGCUUCAUAAGCCUCUAUAAAAUUAGACUGCUCUCCCUCAGAGUUCUGAGUGGGCUACCAACCUGGGAAACUGUCCUCACUCCCCUAAGCCUAUGUCUUUUCCUGGGUCC